rnacentral:ncRNA from 1 species
CCCUGACUAUUGCACCCCGCAAUAGACACUAGCCACGACAGGAGUGACACAUG